rnacentral:rRNA from 1 species
GGAGUCUGGGCCGUGUCUCAGUCCCAAUGUGGCUGAUCAUCCUCUCAGACCAGCUAGAGAUCGUCGCCUAGGUGAGCCUUUACCUCACCUACUAGCUAAUCCCGUUUGGGCACAUCUGAUAGCGCAUUGCUGCUUUCACCCUCAGGCUUUAUGCGGUAUUAGCAGUCGUUUCCAACUGUUGUCCCCCUCUAUCAGGUAGUUUCCCAAAUGUUACUCACCCGUGCGCCGGUCGCCAUCACAGAUAGCAAGCUACCUGCAUGCUGCCCCUCGACUUGCAUGUGUUAAGCCUGUAGCUAGCGUUCAUC